AGUGAACGCUGGCGGUAGGCCUAACACAUGCAAGUCGAACGGCAGCACAGGAGAGCUUGCUCUCUGGGUGGCGAGUGGCGGACGGGUGAGGAAUACAUCGGAAUCUACCUUUUCGUGGGGGAUAACGUAGGGAAACUUACGCUAAUACCGCAUACGACCUACGGGUGAAAGUGGGGGACCGCAAGGCCUCACGCGAUUAGAUGAGCCGAUGUCCGAUUAGCUAGGUGGCGGGGUAAUGGCCAACCAAGGCGACGAUCGGUAGCUGGUCUGAGAGGAUGAUCAGCCACACUGGAACUGAGACACGGUCCAGGCUCCUACGGGGGGCAGCAGUGGGGAAUAUUGGACAAUGGGCGUAAGCCUGAUCCAGCCAUACUGCGUGGGUGAAGAAGGCCUUCGGGUUGUAAAGCCCUUUUGUUGGGAAAGAAAUCCUGUCGAUUAAUACUCGGUGGGGAUGACGGUACCCAAAGAAUAAGCACCGGCUAACUUCGUGCAGCCGCCGCGGUAAAAC
rnacentral:rRNA from 1 species